UAACUAGGUCGAAGUGUCUUCGUAUAUUCGACCCUUGGUAGGUGUCUCGGCAUUCAGUAGCUGUACAUUCGUCCGAGUCUCUCCGCUGGAAGUCGAGUACUCUUUUGUUGUGUAUAGACAAAUCGAUGUAAAUUAUUAAAUUAUGUUUAGAUAAUAUAUGUACUCUUUGAUUGGUCUGCCACUAUGAGAUGGCAAUGUUUAGUAUUAUUUUG
rnacentral:lncRNA from 1 species